rnacentral:rRNA from 1 species
UACGUAGGUGGCAAGCGUUGUCCGGAUUUACUGGGCGUAAAGAGCGCGCAGGCGGUCGUUCAAGUCGCGUGUGAAAGCCCCCCGGCUCAACUGGGGAGGGUCACGCGAUACUGAUCGACUCGAAGGCAGGAGAGGGUAGUGGAAUUCCCGGUGUAGUGGUGAAAUGCGUAGAUAUCGGGAGGAACACCAGUGGCGAAGGCGACUACCUGGCCUGUUUCUUGACGCUGAGGCGCGGAAGCUAGGGGAGCAAACGGG